AGCAUGUAAAUAUAAUAAUAACCACAGCAGCCAAGAAGAGUGCCUGACGAGCCCAGCUAACGACUUCCACUCCAUUGUUUCUGAUCUUCUGAGCUGUCUGCAGGAGCUGUAGCAGAGCAGCAUCACAGCAGAUGGUGGUGUAUAGUCCCGGGUCGUCUUUACAGUAAGCUGGAAACAAUCCAUCAGCUCUCUUCGCAGGUUAAUGGAGUUGCUGGGUAUGUACACACACAUCUACGAGACCCCAAAUAUUCUCAAUUUUGAAUAUUCCUAAAUUUUGAACCCCCAUUAAACAUUUACCCCUGAAAUUCUCUACUGGUUGGUUCCAGCUAUAAUAAAAUGUGAAGCUCACUACAAACCACAACAUUUAUAGUGUAACAAUUCAAAAUAAGCUGCAAAUAUAGAAAGAUUUCUACUUUCUACUCUAUUUCUCAAAUAAAACCUUUUGAGGUUGUAAGCACUUCCAUACUCUUGCCAAAGCUAAAACUAAAACCACCCAUCAACUGAUUCCCAGGAUCCAGAAAGAGAUGCUUUCUUGACAACAUUAAUACUAACUCAAUCAGAUACGCAUUUGUAAAGACCAAUAGUCCAAUUUAGUCUUUUCUUACAUUUGUAAAGAAUCCUUCCAAAGAUACCUGGAUCCAGAUCACUUCUAGAUUGGGCGAUCCUCCACCUCUGAUCAUUUCUUGUAAUGAAAAUCUUUCCAUAAUCUUUUAAAAGUUCUGCCUUAAAAAAAAGAGGAUCAAACACAAAACACAAAGACUGAUCAGGAUGUCUUGAAAUGUAUCUGCCUUCACAGUCUGCAGACUCAAAGGUCUGCUGUAGAACAAUCGAUAAAUCAACAGUUAACUACAGCCAGCGCACAUGUCAAAGAAAAUGCAGAAGCCAGGACGUUUUAUACAAUACGUUUAUGUACACUUUACACUUCAUUAACAAAACAGCCAUCUACAAUAACAGGGAUAGGACUCUGAACGAGGAGGGUUCUGUCUCCAACAUCAUGCUUCAGCAAGUGGCUCUGAUCCUUUUUAUUUGGUUUGUUAUUGCUGUCCUUCAACUCAAACAGUCUCUGUAAUAUCCAGUGUGUGUGUGUUGAAGAGUGAUCGGGUGGAGGUGCUGCUGUAGAAAAAUACUAAUAAAAUCAUCCUGCUAAACUUUCAAGGCGCCAUCUGUCUCUGGCCUUCAUGUGUCCAGAGGCAGGGGGCCACAAUAUAAACUACAAUCCAAAUAGGAAGGGAAAAAAAACAAAAAAAACUAUAUCAAACAGCAAAGGUCAACAGCGAGAAAA